rnacentral:rRNA from 1 species
UACGUAGGGGGCAAGCGUUGUCCGGAGUUAUUGGGCGUAAAGAGCUCGUAGGCGGCUUGUCGCGUCGGCUGUGAAAACCUGGGGCUCAACCCCGGGCUUGCAGCCGAUACGGGCAAGCUAGAAUUCGGUAGGGGAGACUGGAAUUCCUGGUGUAGCGGUGAAAUGCGCAGAUAUCAGGAGGAACACCGGUGGCGAAGGCGGGUCUCUGGGCCGAUAUUGACGCUGAGGAGCGAAAGCGUGGGGAGCGAACAGG